GGGAGUGGUGGGCGCAGCCGGUGGUGGUUUCCUCGCUUCGUAUCAGGAUCUCUUGGACUUCAAACGCAAAAGCCGCGGUUGGUGUGGAGCCGUCGUGCUUGAAGAUGGCGGGCGGGCGGGUGUGAGGGAGGAAGAUUAAUUCUGGAACCUAUGGCAAGAAUCACACAGUCUGAAUGUGGAUGCAGGACCUGAUGUAUUUCAUGAAUUCUGAGG